GACGAACGCUGGCGGCGUGCUUAACACAUGCAAGUCGAACGGAAAGGCCCUGCUUUUGUGGGGUGCUCGAGUGGCGAACGGGUGAGUAACACGUGAGUAACCUGCCCUUGACUUUGGGAUAACUUCAGGAAACUGGGGCUAAUACCGGAUAGGAGCCCCUGCUGCAUGGUGGGGGUUGGAAAGUUUCGGCGGUUGGGGAUGGACUCGCGGCUUAUCAGCUUGUUGGUGGGGUAGUGGCUUACCAAGGCUUUGACGGGUAGCCGGCCCGAGAGGGUUACCGGCCACAUUGGGACUGAGAUACGGCCCAGACUCCUACGGGAGGCAGCAGUGGAGAAUAUAACACAAUGGGCGGAAGCCUGAUGCAGCAACGCCGCGUGCGGGAUGACGGCCUUCAGAUUGUAAACCGCUUUCGCCUGUGACGAAGCGUGAGUGACGGUAAUGGGUAAAGAAGCACCGGCUAACUACGUG
rnacentral:rRNA from 1 species